GUGAAGAAUAUUGGGCAAUGGGCGAAAGCCUGACCCAGCAACGCCGCGUGAAGGAAGAAGGUUUUCGGGUUGUAAACUUCUGUCCCAUGGGACGAAACAAAUGACGGUACCAUGGGAGGAAGCCCCGGCUAACUACGUGCCAGCAGCCGCGGUAAUACGUAGGGGGCAAGCGUUGUCCGGAAUUAUUGGGCGUAAAGGGUGCGUAGGCGGCCUUUCAAGUUGGAUGUGAAAUCUCCGUGCUUAACAUGGAAAUUGCAUUCAAAACUGGAGGGCUUGAGUGUGGAAGAGGUAAGUGGAAUUCCCAGUGUAGCGGUGAAAUGCGUAGAUAUUGGGAGGAACACCAGUGGCGAAGGCGACUUACUGGGCCACAACUGACGCUGAUGCACGAAAGCGUGGGGAGCAAACAGGAUUAGAAACCCGUGUAGUCC
rnacentral:rRNA from 1 species